GACUGAGUGGUUGUGCAACAAGGUCAUGUCAAAUUUACUCUAUUUUUGUGGCAUGUGCGGGGUGGCAAAGGAAAUGUUGCUGAAGCGGUACUAUAGCAAGGACAUUCGAGGUGGUGCUCAAUUCCCAGACUCAAAUAUAGUUAAAGCUUACCGAAGG